rnacentral:rRNA from 1 species
UACGUAGGGGGCAAGCGUUGUCCGGAAUCAUUGGGCGUAAAGAGCGUGUAGGCGGCUCGGUAAGUCCGCUGUGAAAGUCCAGGGCUCAACCCUGGAAAGCCGGUGGAAACUGUCGAGCUAGAGUCCGGAAGAGGCGAGUGGAAUGGUCGGUGUAGCGGUGAAAUGCGUAGAUAUCGAUCGGAACACCCAUGGCGAAGGCAGCUCGCUGGCCUGUAACUGACGCUGAGGCGCGAAAGCGUGGGGAGCAAACAGG